CUCCUGAUGUUAGCGGCGGACGGGUGAGUAACACGUGGGUAACCUGCCUGUAAGACUGGGAUAACUCCGGGAAACCGGGGCUAAUACCGGAUGGUUGUUUGAACCGCAUGGUUCAAACAUAAAAGGUGGCUUCGGCUACCACUUACAGAUGGACCCGCGGCGCAUUAGCUAGUUGGUGAGGUAACGGCUCACCAAGGCAACGAUGCGUAGCCGACCUGAGAGGGUGAUCGGCCACACUGGGACUGAGACACGGCCCAGACUCCUACGGGAGGCAGCAGUAGGGAAUCUUCCGCAAUGGACGAAAGUCUGACGGAGCAACGCCGCGUGAGUGAUGAAGGUUUUCGGAUCGUAAAGCUCUGUUGUUAGGGAAGAACAAGUACCGUUCGAAUAGGGCGGUACCUUGACGGUACCUAACCAGAAAGCCACGGCUAACUACGUGC
rnacentral:rRNA from 1 species